ACGUAUGGAGGGAUUUGUGAGCUCUGCUGCAGAUCAGGACUUUGACACAUUGAGUCACACCAGUGUGAGAGAAUGUUACCGCAGCAGCAGCAGCACUGACUAGACCAUUACUGGACUGUGACAGCACUGACUGACCAUUACUGGACUGUGACAGCACUGACUGACCAUUACUGGACUGUGACAGCACUGACUAGACCAUACUGGACUCAGACCUGAGGUUCCCCAUUUCCAUUCCCUUUCAUCAGCAUACUAGUGGGGGUCCUCAAAAUCUUUGGUGCUUAUCACAUGUUGCGAUAACUUGGUUUCGCUUCCUAUUGGAAACUAUUGCUGCCUACAAUAGUUUAGUAAUUGUCACAGACGUUUCUCUCUUGGACUUGAUUUCUGACCUGCUGAACAAGUAAAGGAAUCUUCUGAAUUUUUUAUCUCUUUUUUGGCAUCUAGAUCUUAACAUACUACUUCAUGGUAUGAGGUGGAGCUUUUGACCAACAACAAACAAGAUGUCCUGAAGUGGAUGGAACAGUCAUCUGUUUAUUGUUUGCAGAAUAAACACACAGCGCAGGACACUGUUGUAAAGGGUGAACUGGUAAAGUAAAUUCAAAUGGGAUGUUGGUCGGGGAAGCUGCUAGUCCUGUUGUCAGGAAUAAUUCCCUGUUGCCUGUGGAUUACCAUGAAUAUGCUGGGAGCUGUAACUGUGCAACAACAGAGAGCACACAAAGUGUUCGCAGGUAACAGCUAUGCUACUGUGACGUGGAUCCCGCCUGCAUCACAAAACCCUAUGGAUCACCUGCCAGAUUAUGCGGCUACUCUUGAAGGGAUCAUUCUUCCUUUGUGGGAACCUGGACACUGGACAAUAUGUAAGUAAAUAAACAUCGCCAAGAUCUUGUCCCCCGGACCAUGGGAAACCUUGGGUGUGGACGAUGUUCAGGGAUUGUCAAAGCAAGGACCAUCAAAUAACUGUGGGGUGUUUGUUUUGAUGUAUGCAAUGUACUGUAUAUAGUGAUGGGAACACAGUGUGAUUUCACUGAGGAACCUAUGAGGAAAAUAAGGCGCUGGUGGUGUCUUGUUCUUCUACAUAACUUUCCGAUGCCGUCUGACUACAGAAUCGAGAGGCGUCGAGAACAAAACUUACUCAACAAGGAUGAUAUGGAAGUACCCCCCACAAAGGCACAGUGUGAAGAUGUGAUUUACAUCAACCACAAAUAAGAACUUUGAGGAAGACAGCCCACUGACCCCUACCCAGGAUCUGGAUUUGCUCUUCCAUUUGUUUCUCCAUUAUGAAGAUUAUUAGAUUAUUAAAUCACUCUGUGUCUGAUGUCUAUUAGCCUCUGCAAUGCACUGUGUGUUUUUAUACGCCUACAUUUAUGACAUUGAACCCAUAUUUCAUGUUGUCUAUGAAAAUAAUUCCAAGACUGAAUGGAAUUAUUAGUUUAUUAUUGAAUUAUAAAUGAUAGGCUAGAAAGUCAAAA